rnacentral:rRNA from 1 species
AGAGUUUGAUCCUGGCUCAGAACGAACGCUGGCGGCAGGCCUAACACAUGCAAGUCGAACGCCCCGCAAGGGGAGUGGCAGACGGGUGAGUAACACGUGGGAACCUUCCCUAUAGUACGGAAUAGCCCAGGGAAACUUGGAGUAAUACCGUAUACGCCCGAAAGGGGAAAGAAUUUCGCUAUAGGAUGGGCCUGCGUAGGAUUAGCUAGUUGGUGAGGUAAUGGCUCACCAAGGCGACGAUCCUUAGCUGGUUUGAGAGAACGACCAGCCACACUGGGACUGAGACACGGCCCAGACUCCUACGGGAGGCAGCAGUGGGGAAUAUUGGACAAUGGGCGCAAGCCUGAUCCAGCCAUGCCGCGUGAGUGAUGAAGGCCUUAGGGUUGUAAAGCUCUUUUGCCGGGGACGAUAAUGACGGUACCCGGAGAAUAAGUCCCGGCUAACUUCGUGCCAGCAGCCGCGGUA